UGGGGAAUUUUGGACAAUGGGCGAAAGCCUGAUCCAGCAAUGCCGCGUGUGUGAAGAAGGCCUUCGGGUUGUAAAGCACUUUUGUCCGGAAAGAAAUCCUUGGCUCUAAUACAGUCGGGGGAUGACGGUACCGGAAGAAUAAGCACCGGCUAACUACGUGCCAGCAGCCGCGGUAAUACGUAGGGUGCAAGCGUUAAUCGGAAUUACUGGGCGUAAAGCGUGCGCAGGCGGUUUGCUAAGACCGAUGUGAAAUCCCCGGGCUCAACCUGGGAACUGCAUUGGUGACUGGCAGGCUAGAGUAUGGCAGAGGGGGGUAGAAUUCCACGUGUAGCAGUGAAAUGCGUAGAGAUGUGGAGGAAUACCGAUGGCGAAGGCAGCCCCCUGGGCCAAUACUGACGCUCAUGCACGAAAGCGUGGGGGAGCAAACAGGAUUAGAUACCCCUGGUAGUCCACGCCCUAAACGAUGUCAACUAGUUGUUGGGGAUUCAUUUCCUUAGUAACGUAGCUAACGCGUGAAGUUGACCGCCUGGGGGAGUACGGUCGCAAGAUUAAAACUCAAAGGAAUUG
rnacentral:rRNA from 1 species